rnacentral:tRNA from 1 species
GGUUGUGGCUCAGUGGUAUAGAGUGCUUCGCCUAGCAUAUGUGAGGUCCUGGGUUGGAUUCUCAGCACCA